rnacentral:rRNA from 1 species
CGACGAAGUAACCUUACGUCGGUUUGACAUGGUCGUAGUAGUGAACCGAAAGGGAACGAGCCUUCGGGCAGCGAUCACAGGUGCUGCAUGGCUGUCGUCAGCUCGUGUCGUGAGAUGUUGGGUUAAGUCCCGCAACGAGCGCAACCCUCGUUGCCAGUUACACGUAUCUGGCGAGACUGCCGGUAUCAAGCCGGAGGAAGGUGGGGAUGACGUCAAGUCAGCAUGGCCUUUAUAUCCAGGGCUACACACACGCUACAAUGGUCGGUACAAAGAGUUGCCAAGCCGUGAGGCGGAGCUAAUCUCACCAAAACCGGCCUCAGUUCGGAUUGGAGGCUGCAACCCGCCUCCAUGAAGUCGGAGUUGCUAGUAAACGCCGGUCAGCCAUACGGCGUUGAAUACGUUCCCGGGCCUU